AUUGAACGCUGGCGGCAUGCCUUACACAUGCAAGUCGAACGGUAACAGGUCUUCGGAUGCUGACGAGUGGCGAACGGGUGAGUAAUACAUCGGAACGUGCCUAGUAGUGGGGGAUAACUACUCGAAAGAGUGGCUAAUACCGCAUGAGAUCCACGGAUGAAAGCAGGGGAUCGCAAGACCUUGUGCUACUAGAGCGGCCGAUGGCAGAUUAGGUAGUGGGUAGGAUAAAAGCUUACCAAGCCGACGAUCUGUAGCUGGUCUGAGAGGACGAUCUGCCACACUGGGACUGAGACACGGCCCAGACUCCUACGGGAGGCAGCAGUGGGGAAUUUUGGACAAUGGGCGCAAGCCUGAUCCAGCAAUGCCGCGUGCAGGAUGAAGGUCUUCGGGUUGUAAACUGCUUUUGUACGGAACGAAAAGCCCUGGGUUAAUACCCUGGGGUCAUGACGGUACCGUAAGAAUAAGCACCGGCUAACUACGUGCCAGCCGCCGCAGUAACAC
rnacentral:rRNA from 1 species